rnacentral:rRNA from 1 species
AUUGAACGCUGGCGGCAUGCCUUACACAUGCAAGUCGAACGGCAGCACGGGGCAACCUGGUGGCGAGUGGCGAACGGGUGAGUAAUGCAUCGGAACGUACCUUUCAGUGGGGGAUAACGUAGCGAAAGUUACGCUAAUACCGCAUAUUCUGUGAGCAGGAAAGCAGGGGAUCGCAAGACCUUGCGCUGAUUGAGCGGCCGAUGUCAGAUUAGCUAGUUGGUGAGGUAAAGGCGCACCAAGGCGACGAUCUGUAGCGGGUCUGAGAGGAUGACCCGGCACACUGGAACUGAGACACGGUCCAGACUCCUACGGGAGGCAGCAGUGGGGAAUUUUGGACAAUGGGGGCAACCCUGAUCCAGCCAUGCCGCGUGAGUGAAGAAGGCCUUCGGGUUGUAAAGCUCUUUCGGCCGGGAAGAAAUCGCACGGGCUAAUACCCUGUGUGGAUGACGGUACCGGAAUAAGAAGCACCGGCUAACUACGUGCCAGCCGCCGCGGUAAAAC